UUAUGUUAUGAAAAUUCCCUUUGAGAGCACAGUUCUAUCAUGAAGGUGUGCUCAGUUUCAUGGAAGGCUUUUUCUGCAUCUGAGAUGAUGUUGUUUUUCUUCUUUAAUCUGUGGUUAAUCACAUCAGUCAUUUUUCUAAUUUGUUGACCUAACGGGGCAGCAGAGCGCAGUGGCUGAGAACACAGAAGGAGGCCUCUCUGGACUUAAUUCUGGAUUCUUACACUGAAUCAGCUGCGUGUUAUGGAGCAAGUUCCUUGGCCUCUCUCUGUUUCAAGGUGAUGUUGUGACGAUUACAUGUUUUAAUCUCCAUGCAGCCCCACCUGAGUGGACAUCUUUCAUCACCAGAGAUGUCCCACCGAAGCUGACCACAACCAGUCACCUUGUUCUUCAAACCUGAAUGAGAAGUGGAAACUCGGUUUGGAAAGAUCACUUAAAAGGCUAAAUGGCUGCAAGCUGUCAAAAAGACAAACCCAUUACAUGAUCUAUUUGAUUCGUUACCUUCACAAAUAAGAACACUUUUCAGAUCUGGA